rnacentral:lncRNA from 1 species
GGGGGCACAGCCUGUCAGCAUACAAAUCUGGUUCCAAUAGAAAAAGGAUAAGAAAGAAAAGGUAAAAAGAGAGUGGAAGGAAGAUGUUCGAUGCAACUUCAAAUAAAACAGAGUACUCGGACACUCACAUGAACACCAACAGCUGGAUCGAUGGACUAACUCCUCGAAGCCACCCAAGUUUAAGUACCACAACCUCUGGACAUAGGUUGGCAGAGUGUCGAAGGUGCGGAUUAGACAUGCACCGAAGCCCAAAUCUAUGAUUUUUUAAGGGAGCCUAAUUCUUAAAAGAUUCAUCUGAAAAUAGGGAUUAGACAUGCACCGAAGCCCAAAUCUAUGAUUUUCUAGAGGAGCCUAAUUCUUAAAAGGUUUGUCCAAAGACAGAGAUCAGAUUCGCACUGAAGUCCUAAAUCUAUGAUUUUCUAAGGAAGACCUAAUUACCUUAAAGGUCUAUUUGGUGAUAG